rnacentral:rRNA from 1 species
GCUUACACAUGCCAGUCGUACGGAAAGGCCUCUUCGGAGGUACUCGAGUGGCGAACGGGUGAGUAACACGUGGGUAAUCUGCCCUGCACUUCGGGAUAAGCCUGGGAAACUGGGUCUAAUACCGAAUAGGACCAUUUAGCGCAUGCUUUAUGGUGGAAAGCUUUUGCGGUGUGGGAUGGGCCCGCGGCCUAUCAGCUUGUUGGUGGGGUGACGGCCUACCAAGGCGACGACGGGUAGCCGGCCUGAGAGGGUGUCCGGCCACACUGGGACUGAGAUACGGCCCAGACUCCUACGGGAGGCAGCAGUGGGGAAUAUUGCACAAUGGGCGCAAGCCUGAUGCAGCGACGCCGCGUGGGGGAUGACGGCCUUCGGGUUGUAAACCUCUUUCAGCAGGGACGAAGCGCAAGUGACGGUACCUGCAGAAGAAGCACCGGCCAACUACGUG